AGGCGGUUUUCUGAGUUCGAGGCCAGCCUGUUCUACAGAGUGAGUUCCAGGACAGACAGGGCUAUACAGAGAAACUGUCUUGAAAAAAAACAAAAAAGGAAAAAGAAAAAAAAAUUAGCACUUAUGAGUCUACCCUUGGCCAACGUGGCAUAGAAGAUACCACUGUUAGACCUCCUUUGGUUGAGAUUAUAGAGCCAACUUAGGCUUUAUAGUGAAUUUCAGAAUAGCUGAGCUAUAGCAAUACCAUGUCUCCAAAGCAAAUCUUGGAGAUUAUGGUAGAAAUUUUCAAGGAUCCAUGUGGAAGUGUCCUAAGUGUGUAGAGGGUUUUGCUACUUUGUAGAAUAAUUUUUUUACAAGAUUAUUUCACAUUGUUUUUCUCUUACUAAUCAAAAUACUCUGUUCCCUUACAGAUGCAUUAUGUUCAAGAUAAACUAUUUGUGGGUCUAGAACAUGCGGUGCCCACUUUUAAUGUUAAAGAGAAAGUAGAAGGUCCAGGCUGCUCUUAUUUGCAACACAUUCAAAUUGAAACUGGUGCCAAAGUCUUUCUACGAGGGAAAGGCUCAGGCUGCAUUGAGCCAGCGUCAGGCCGAGAGGCUUUUGAACCCAUGUAUAUUUAUAUCAGGUAUGGCUAAAAGCAGAGGACAUUGAAAUCUGUCUUAGUAAUUAUAGGCUGGAAUAGUUCAUUGAAAAAAAAGUGAGAAAAUAUGUUAAUAAUGUGAAACCUGAUGUGCUUAGCCUGUGAUCCUUGCAUGCAAAUGUGGGACUGGAGAAUCAGGGUUCCAAGGUCAUUUAUAGCUGGAUUUCGCUACCUUGUGGGUUUUUCUUAUUUCUACUCUUUAUCUCCCCCCCCCCCUUAUAUCGCCUAACAGUAGAUAGGAGAGAAACACAGGGAGAGAGAAGAGUUCUCUAAAUCUAAAGUCUUUCCUUUUGUUUCUUUGGCACACUAGUAGCACACUAAUCAACCUCUUCCUAAAGGACCAACAACCACCGCCCCCUGCCUGUCAGGGCUCUCGAAUUUAUUUACCCUCUGAAAAGUUCUCAGAGUUCUAAAUCUCACAGUCACAGAAAAUGUCGACAACUGGCAAAACCAAGCCUCUGCUAGAGCACGAGGCAAGUCAGUCAGUUGCUUCAGACUGUCCGAAGAAGCCCUGUAUCCCCACACCUGGGAUUAAACCAAAACACAUUUUUAUAAUAUUUCUGUGUUUUUUAAAGAGCCCAUAAUUCCAGAGUUGUCACUACAGUUGUCCUUGUGUUCAUAAUGAUUAUGAGGCCUGCAUAGGUCUCUUGAGACUACC
rnacentral:lncRNA from 1 species